UACGUAGGGUGCGAGCGUUAAUCGGAAUUACUGGGCGUAAAGCGUGCGCAGGCGGUUUUGUAAGCCAGAUGUGAAAUCCCCGGGCUUAACCUGGGAAUGGCAUUUGGGACUGCAAGGCUGGAGUGUGGCAGAGGAGACUGGAAUUCCCGGUGUAGCAGUGAAAUGCGUAGAUAUCGAGAGGAACACCUGCGGCGAAGGCGGCCUUCUGGACCAGUACUGACGCUCAUGCACGAAAGCGUGGGGAGCAAACAGG
rnacentral:rRNA from 1 species